CUCAACGGAUAAAAGCUACCCUGGGGAUAACAGGCUUAUCUCCCCCAAGAGUCCACAUCGACGGGGAGGUUUGGCACCUCGAUGUCGGCUCAUCACAUCCUGGGGCUGUAGUAGGUCCCAAGGGUUGGGCUGUUCGCCCAUUAAAGUGGUACGCGAGCUGGGUUCAGAACGUCGUGAGACAGUUCGGUCCCUAUCCGUCGCAGGCGUAGGAAAUUUGAGAAGACCUGUCCUUAGUACGAGAGGACCGGGAUGGACGUACCUCUGGUGUACCAGUUGUUCUGCCAAGGGCAUGGCUGGGUAGCUAUGUACGGAAUGGAUAAGCGCUGAAAGCAUCUAAGCGCGAAGCCAACUUCAAGAUAAGAUUUCCCACCGCAAGGGUAAGACCCCAGAAAGACUAUCUGGUUGAUAGGUCGAAGGUGUAAGUGCAGCAAUGUAUUUAGCUUAUCGAUACUAAUAGGUCGAGGACUUGACCAAU
rnacentral:rRNA from 1 species